UGGUGAAAUCAAAGGACAUUGGCUGGAUAAACUACGAAGGGAAUGGCAAAUGGAGAGAUCUUUCCAAACUGCUUUGUGGUUACUGCAGCCAGAUAUUGUUUUUAUUCUGGGAGAUGUCUUUGAUGAAGGAAAAUGGGACUCACCUCAGGUAUGACAUGAACAGCUCUCUUGUUUCAAAAAAUGAGGAUUUCUUGAAGGAAAUGGAUGGCAGAAGAAAAGAGACUAGGUAUGCAAGGCUUUGUUUUAUGUUACUUGCUUUUCUACUCAUAGAAGUUUGUAGUGUUUUAGAUAUGAAUUGAUGUGUUGUGAUUUUCCUUCAUUUUUAGUAAUAUCUUGGCACUUUUCAACUGAUAAAGAACAUAGGAAACGUGAGCAUUUUACUGAGCAUGGGCAGAUGAUGUCAGGAGAUUUCAGAAAAUGUUUAAGUAUCCAGUUACUACUGAGCUGGUGGUUAUUGUUGGGAAUCAUGACAUCGGG